rnacentral:rRNA from 1 species
CCGACCUGGCUCACACCGGUUUAAACUCAGAUCAUGUAAAAUUUUAAAGGUCGAACAGACCUAACUUAUUCAGCUUCUACACCAAACGUAAAUUUUAAUCCAACAUCGAGGUCGCAAUCUUUUUUUUCGAUAAGAACUCUAAAAAAAAUAACGCUGUUAUCCCUAAGGUAAUUUAUUCUUUUAAUCUCUAGUUAAGGAUCACUUUUCCAUAAAUAAAUGUUUCUUCUAAAGAAAAGUUCUACUAAUUUUCCUGUCACCCCAACAAAAUAACCCUUUUUAUAAAUAAACAACCACUCCUUAAAAUCACUUACAUAAAUUAUUAUAAAACUCUAUAGGGUCUUCUCGUCUUCUAUAGUUAUCUAAGCUUUUUUACUUAAAAAUAAAAUUCUAAUAAAAUUACCAAGAGACAGUCAUUUUUUCAUCAAACCUUUCAUUCUAGCUUUCAAUUAAAAAACUAAUGAUUAUGCUACCUUUGUACGGUCAAAUUACCGCAGCCAUUUAAAUCUCAUAGGGCAGGUCAGACCUGAAAUUAUAAUCAACAGGCCA